GUGCUCGCUUCGGCAGCACAUAUACUAAAAUUGGAACAAUACAGGGAAGAUUAGCAUGGCCCCUACGCAAGGAUGACACACAAAUUUGUGAAAUGUUCCAUAUUUUU
rnacentral:snRNA from 1 species